CUGGACAGUUCCUGUAGACUGAUUUUGGGAAAACUGCUCUAGACACUGUAACCACUACUAUAUGCGGUAAUGGUAAUGUUGCUUAACAUUCCAGAGUGCCAUCGACCAGUAAUCUGUCAAAACGGUUUAUGGGAGUCCACAAGUGGAAGUUCAUAUAAUGUCAUAAUAAUUUAAAGCAGUGUUAAACUGUAUUCACAACAAUGUAGAACCACUGGCACACAACACCGCACAAAACAGUUUGUUAAUGGUUUGAGAGAUUAUCAGGGGAUGGCAACCAAGCUGUAGAGGUUAUCGUACCUAGAUGCCUCUAAAGCGGACUUCUAAACCAAAUCUGAUACCCACAUUUUUUUUUGUUUACACUGAAUGAGUGGAUUCCCCAAACAUCUACUUGUAGCAAAAACACAAUUGGCAAAAUUUAGACAAAUCUCCAACUCAGAUAGUUUGGAUAUUUAACCUUAAAGGGACGGUAUAGCCACCAGUACCAUUACAGCUUAGUAUAGUGGUUCUGGUGUCUUUAGCUUGUUCCUGCAAGCUUAGCACAGAAUAAGUGCCAGUGUUUACAUUGCUGGUUAGUAACACCUCUAUUGGCAGUCAUAGUGACAGCUACUUGAAGGACAUCCUGGUUGGCUCCUGCAAUAUAUGCAGGACCUAAAUUCAGGUGCAUGGAGAUGCUGAACGCUCCUCAUAGAGAUGCAUUGAUUCUAAGCAUCUUUAAGAGGAGAUGCUGAUUGGUCUAUACUAUGGUAAAGCAUUGGAUUGGCUGAGAUCAACAAAUUUGUUCCUAUUUCUAACACUAUAGCAUUCAUUUAAUAUUGUAGUUCAGAUUUUAAUUUGCUACAAUUUAUGAAUAAACCCCUAUAGUGUAUAAGAAAAAGUUUCAAAGUUGUUUUUUUAUAAAAUUUAAAACAUUCAUAUUAACUGUACCUUUUUUCUUUCUGAU